rnacentral:rRNA from 1 species
UACGUAGGCAGCAAGCGUUGUUCGGAAUUACUGGGCGUAAAGAGUGUGUAGGCGGUGCUCUAAGUCUGUUGUGAAAUCUCCCGGCUUAACCGGGAGGGUGCGGCGGAAACUGGAGUGCUUGAGGGUGGGAGAGGUAAGCGGAAUUCCUGGUGUAGCGGUGAAAUGCGCAGAUAUCAGGAGGAACACCAAUGGCGAAGGCAGCUCGCUGGGACGUUACUGACGCUGAGACGCGAAAGCGUGGGGAGCAAACAGG